AUUGAACGCUGGCGGCAUGCCUUACACAUGCAAGUCGAACGGUAACAGGUUAAGCUGACGAGUGGCGAACGGGUGAGUAAUGUAUCGGAACGUGCCCAGUCGUGGGGGAUAACUGCUCGAAAGAGCAGCUAAUACCGCAUACGACCUGAGGGUGAAAGCGGGGGAUCGCAAGACCUCGCGCGAUUGGAGCGGCCGAUAUCAGAUUAGGUAGUUGGGGAGGUAAAGGCUCACCCAGCCGACGAUCUGUAGCUGGUCUGAGAGGACGACCAGCCACACUGGGACUGAGACACGGCCCAGACUCCUACGGGAGGCAGCAGUGGGGAAUUUUGGACAAUGGGCGCAAGCCUGAUCCAGCCAUGCCGCGUGCGGGAAGAAGGCCUUCGGGUUGUAAACCGCUUUUGUCAGGGAAGAAAAGGUUCUGGCUAAUACCUGGGACUCAUGACGGUACCUGAAGAAUAAGCACCGGCUAACUACGUG
rnacentral:rRNA from 1 species